rnacentral:rRNA from 1 species
CACGUAGGGGGCAAGCGUUGUCCGGAAUCAUUGGGCGUAAAGAGCUCGUGAGGCGCUCAGUAAGUCGGGUGUGAAACCCUCAGGCUCAACCUGGGGACGCCACCCGAUACUGCUGUGGCUAGAGUCCAGUAGGGAGUGUGGAAUUCCCGGUGUGAGCGGUGAAUGCGCAGAUAUCGGGAGAACACCAGCGGCGAAGGCGGCACUCUGGGCUGGUACUGACGCUGAGGAGCGAAAGCGUGGGUAGCAAACAGG